GUUUGUUGAAAAUCACCCCUGGUCUUAGUCAUGGCCUGGGUUGAGAUUCGGCAUCCAGAGCCACCAGGGGCCUCAGCUCACCUCCGGCUUCCACAGUGUGGGAGGGUGAAACCCAGGCCCUGACAAGC
ensembl:snoRNA